ensembl:misc_RNA Metazoa_SRP Metazoan signal recognition particle RNA
GCCGGGCGUGGUGGCGGGCGCCUGUAAUCCCAGCUACUUGGGAGGCUGAGGCAGGAGAAUCACUUGAACCCAGGAGGCAGAGGUUGCAGUGAGCCGAGAUCAUGCCACUGCACUCCAGCCUGGGCAACAAAGCGAGACUCUGCUUUAA